rnacentral:rRNA from 1 species
UUCACUACGAACCCAAUGUGAACGUUACCAAACUGUUGCCUCGGCGGGAUCUUCUGCCCCGGGUGCGUCGCAGCCCCGGACCAAGGCGCCCGCCGGAGGAAUCAACCAAAACUCUUAUUGUAUACCCCCUCGCGGGUUUUUUUUAUAAUCUGAGCCUUCUCGGCGCCUCUCGUAGGCGUUUCGAAAAUGAAUCAAAACUUUCAACAACGGAUCUCUUGGUUCUGGCAUCGAUGAAGAACGCAGCGAAAUGCGAUAAGUAAUGUGAAUUGCAGAAUUCAGUGAAUCAUCGAAUCUUUGAACGCACAUUGCGCCCGCCAGUAUUCUGGCGGGCAUGCCUGUCCGAGCGUCAUUUCAACCCUCGAACCCCUCCGGGGGGUCGGCGUUGGGGAUCGGCCUUCCUUCACGGGGGCCGUCUCCGAAAUACAGUGGCGGUCUCGCCGCAGCCUCUCCUGCGCAGUAGUUUGCACACUCGCAUCGGGAGCGCGGCGCGUCCACAGCCGUUAAACACCCAACUUUCUGAAAUGUUGACCUCGGAUCAGGUAGGAAUACCCGCUGAACUUAAGCAUAUCAAUA